rnacentral:sRNA from 1 species
ACUGGGCGUGGUGGUGCAUGCCUGUAAUCCCAGUGGCUUGGGAGGCUGAGGCAGGAGGAUCGAGAGUUCAAAGCCAGCCUCAGCAAAGUCGAGGCACUAAGCAACUCAGUGAGAUUCUGUCUUUA